CACAGUAGGACUUGAUGUUGAUAC
rnacentral:piRNA from 1 species